ACGCACGCUGGCGGCGUGCUUCACCCAUGCCAGUCGCACGGAAAGGCCCUGCUUUUGUGGGGUGCUCGAGUGGCGAACGGGUGAGUAACACGUGAGUAACCUGUCCUUGACUUUGGGAUAACUUCAGGAAACUGGGGCUAAUACCGGAUAGGAGCUCCUGCUGCAUGGUGGGGGUUGGAAAGUUUCGGCGGUUGGGGAUGGACUCGCGGCUUAUCAGCUUGUUGGUGGGGUAGUGGCUUACCAAGGCUUUGACGGGUAGCCGGCCUGAGAGGGUGACCGGCCACAUUGGGACUGAGAUACGGCCCAGACUCCUACGGGAGGCAGCAGUGGGGAAUAUUGCACAAUGGGCGGAAGCCUGAUGCAGCAACGCCGCGUGCGGGAUGACGGCCUUCGGGUUGUAAACCGCUUUCGCCUGUGACGAAGCGUGAGUGACGGUAAUGGGUAAAGAAGCACCGGCUAACUACGUG
rnacentral:rRNA from 1 species